GAUGAACGCUGGCGGCGUGCCUAAUACAUGCAAGUCGAGCGAACAGACGAGGAGCUUGCUCCUUCGACGUUAGCGGCGGACGGGUGAGUAACACGUAGGUAACCUACCUAUAAGACUGGGAUAACUUCGGGAAACCGGAGCUAAUACCGGAUAAUAUUUCGAACCGCAUGGUUCGAUAGUGAAAGAUGGCUUUGCUAUCACUUAUAGAUGGACCUGCGCCGUAUUAGCUAGUUGGUAAGGUAACGGCUUACCAAGGCAACGAUACGUAGACGACCUGAGAGGGUGAUCGGCCACACUGGAACUGAGACACGGUCCAGACUCCUACGGGAGGCAGCAGUAGGGAAUCUUCCGCAAUGGGCGAAAGCCUGACGGAGCAACGCCGCGUGAGUGAUGAAGGUCUUCGGAUCGUAAAACUCUGUUAUUAGGGAAGAACAAACGUGUAAGUAACUGUGCACGUCUUGACGGUACCUAAUCAGAAAGCCACGGCUAACUACGUA
rnacentral:rRNA from 1 species